rnacentral:rRNA from 1 species
AUGUCCAACAUCGAUCGCCAUGCCCUCCUCUGCUUCAAGUCCGGCAUCAGCUCUGAUCCCCUUGGCAUCCUACACUCAUGGAGCAAUGGCUCGCUUGACUUUUGCAGCUGGAAAGGGGUCGCUUGCGGCACCAAGUUUCCACCCCGGGUGGCCUCUCUGAACCUCACCGCCGCUCGUCUCGGUGGGCAGUUAUCUGGAUGCGUAUGCAACCUGACAUUUCUUUCCCGGAUGAACCUUGCUAAUAAUCAUCUGUUAGGAACCAUCCCCGAAGUGUUGGCCAGUAGCUCCUCACUCAGCACACUUAUACUGUCAUGUAAUAGCCUCUCAGGAGAGAUCCCUUCUACUUUGUUUGGUAAUGCACAACUUACUAUCGUUGAUCUCCAGAUGAAUUAUUUCACUGGUCCCAUCCCACAUUUCCAUAAGGUCACAACACUCAAAUUUCUUCGUCUGACAGACAACUUCCUCUCUGGGAGCAUACCUCCUUCAAUAGGAAAUGUUUCUUCCCUCACUACUAUAUUGCUCGGCCGAAAUAGGUUAUCUGGAUUAAUUCCAGAGACUUUGAGUCACAUUAAAGAACUUCUUGAGCUUGAUCUAAGUUUCAACAGUUUAUCAGGGAGUGUCCCGUCGUCUAUUUACAACAUGACAUCACUAAGUUACUUUAGCGUAGGCAGCAAUACACUUGUUGGACAGAUACCAUCUCACAUUGGUUACUCGCUAUCAAACCUCCAGUUGCUUAUCCUGGGAAGCAACAGACUAAACGUCCUGAUCCCUGCUUCACUAGCCAACAUGUUAAAUCUUCAAAUACUUGAUCUUUCAAACAACUCGCUACAUGGAUCUGUUCCAUCUCUUGGUUCCUUGUCAAACUUGCAUCAGUUAGAUUUAGGAAGGAACUUUCUAGAAGCACAUGACUGGUCAUUUCUUACAUCUCUGGCAAAUUGCACCCAGCUGACAAAGUUGUCCUUGGAAAGGAAUGCUCUAAAUGGCAGCCUACCUAUAUCCAUUGUUAAUCUUUCCAGGAGGCUAGAAGAUUUAUCGCUUGGGUCAAACCAAAUUUCAGGCUCCAUACCUGUAGAGAUUGGCAAUCUUGUUAAUCUCUUUUCGCUUGGGAUGGAAAGCAAUUUUCUUUCUGGAAGCAUACCUUCUUCCAUCGGCAAGCUACGAAACCUCUAUAUCCUAAAUCUGUCAAAGAACAAAUUAUCAGGUCAGAUUCCUCCCUCAAUUGGUGAUGUUACUCAACUUUCUGAACUUCACCUUGAUGGUAACAACUUGAGUGAAAAUAUACCUGGUAGUUUAGCUCAGUGCAUGGGGCUUUUUGAACUAAACUUGUCUCAAAACAAUCUUGAUGGCUCGAUAUCAGUCAGACUUUUUGCUGACCUUCUAUUCGCCUGGAGUCUGGACUUCUCACACAACAAUCUCACAGGGGAACUACCACCGGUACUUGGUACAUAUGGCAUUGGUAGUGGUCUACUUUCCCUUCACAUCGAAGGAAACAGGUUUCAUGGACAAAUUCCAGAAAGAUGGCAUCUAUUAGUAUCAACCCGGCAGCUUAAUCUUUCUCACAAUGGCUUAUCCGGUGUCGUGCCCAAAUUCUUUGAGCAACUUGAUAAGCUAGAGCAACUUGAUCUCUCUUACAACAACUUGGAAGGGGUUGUUCCUACAAGUGGUAUCUUCACGCAUUCUGCUGCAGUAGUUUUGGAUGGCAACAAGGGACUCUGCUGAAAUUCCCCCAGGCUAGCGUUACCAAUUUGUCCUGGCAUCUCAGGUUCAGCAACUAAAGUGAAGCAUCAUCUGUCAUUGCUGCUAAUUGUACUACCACCACUUACUAUUGGUUCCCUAGUCUUGAUAUGGUUUAUGCUCACUAUUUGGAAAAGAGAAGUGCAUACAGCCCCGUGCCAUGACGAGAAGAAGCUGAAGAGAGUGUCAUACGAGGACAUUCUUAAAGCUACCAACUGGUUUUCUUUGGUCCAUACUAUCAGCUCAACUUGUACUGGUUGAGUUUAUGUUUGUAGGUUCAAGUCCGACAAGAGCCUAGUUGCCAUCAAAGUAUUCAACUUGAAUGAACCUGGUGGAUACAAUAGUUACCUUAUUGAGUGUGAAGUGCUGCGAAGCACCCGCCAUAGAAAUAUAAUGCGGCCUGUGACACUGUGCUCAACAUUGGAUUCACAAAACCAUGAGUUCAAAGCACUGAUCUUUGAGUUCAUGGUUAAUGGCAGCCUGGAGAGAUGGUUGCAUUCGGAGCAACACAAUGGAAUCCCAGAAAAAGUGCUAAGCUUUGGGCAGAGGAUAUGCAUAGCAGUAGAUGUGGCUUCUGCUCUUGAUUAUGUUCACAAUGAACUGACGCCUCCUUUGAUCCAUUGUGAUUUGAAGCCAAACAAUGUCCUUUUGUAUGAUGACAUGACUGCACGGCUCAGUGACUUUGGCUCAGCGAAGUUUCUAUCACUAGGUCUGCUAAGUCCUAAAAGCCUAGAUGAAGUUGGAGGGACAAUUGGAUAUGUGGCACCUGGAGAGGAACACUAA